GUUUACAGCCAUACCAGCCUGAAUACGCCCGAUCUCGUCUGAUCUCGGAAGCUAAGCAGGGUCGGGCCUGGUUAGUACUUGGAUGGGAGACCGCCUGGGAAUACCAGGUGCUGUAAGCU
ensembl:rRNA 5S_rRNA 5S ribosomal RNA